rnacentral:rRNA from 1 species
GGAGGAGCUUGCUCCUCCGGAUCAGUGGCGAACGGGUGAGUAACACGUGAGCAAUCUGCCCCUGACUCUGGGAUAAGCGUUGGAAACGACGUCUAAUACCGGAUACGAGCUGAGAAGGCAUCUUCAGCAGCUGGAAAGAACUUCGGUCAGGGAUGAGCUCGCGGCCUAUCAGGUAGUUGGUGAGGUAACGGCUCACCAAGCCUACGACGGGUAGCCGGCCUGAGAGGGUGACCGGCCACACUGGGACUGAGACACGGCCCAGACUCCUACGGGAGGCAGCAGUGGGGAAUAUUGCACAAUGGGCGAAAGCCUGAUGCAGCAACGCCGCGUGAGGGACGAAGGCCUUCGGGUUGUAAACCUCUUUUAGCAGGGAAGAAGCGAAAGUGACGGUACCUGCAGAAAAAGCACCGGCUAACUAUCGUG